UCUGUGCCUCACCAUUACCUUUAAGUAAACUCUUAAUUACUAAUUUUUAAAAAUACUGAUUUAUGACAGUUUUUAUCAAGUUAUUAAGCUUUUACAUUCUUUCUAUGGUGGCUAAAUGUUAAUGUUAAAAUCUAAUGCCUCGUCAGUCCUCCUGUUUUUCAUCUAUGAUUGAUUCUGUAGUCGUUGGCAUUGGUGUUACUGGUGGUGAUGUUGGUAUUGGUGCUUGGGUCACUGUGGAAGAAACUGGUGCUGGUUUUUUGAUGGAUUUAAAUGUAAAUGAUUUUGAUGAAGCUCCUAUCAUUUUCCGUCCCUUUUCAUUGGCCAUAACAAAUACCAAAGCCCCUGGACACUUGGAACACUUUCUCCAACCAGUUAUUCCUUCGAGUGGUACAAUCUUAAACUGGUCAGUCAUCUGGUUGGUUACAUUAGCCGCGAUAUCUGCGAAGGCGGUCCAAUUUCUGGUCGUCAUCACUGUCGAAGACAAGUCAUAUACCUUCAUUUGACAAGUUUAUUCCCAUUUAAUAACUCAAUUAUCAACUGUUAUCAACGUUCACUCUAAUUGACAUAAACUUGGAGCUGUUUAAUGGCAUUUUGUUAAAAACAAAACAACUGUUAAAUUUAAAAUUUAUCUCCAGAGGAGUUAACUAGAGGAAAGAUGCAUGUAGUUGCCAUGAUGUCUCGAGUCCAAUCACUCAUCAAAUCUACGCUAUAUUUCUCUCUAUCUUCAAAAUCUCGACUAUCGCUGAAAAGAUAAUUUCAGAUUCUUAUGCAUGAAAAAGACCCAAAGGAGUGCUUAAAAUUAUUAAAGAUUCACUUCUUGAUGACAAAUAAUAUCUAUUUUUGGCUCAAGCUGUCUGCAUCUGAAAGGCUUAAGAAUCAUCUUCAAUAUCUUUUAUAGUCGUCAAUUGGAUCAUCAAAACCUGAAUCAUCUGAUCGUGCAUCGUCUUUGCUGCUAACAUUGUCUAGAUCGGAAUCUUUAUCAUUUUUAUUGAUUGGUCGACCAGAUCCUCCAAA